rnacentral:rRNA from 1 species
UACGUAGGGGGCUAGCGUUGUCCGGAUUUAUUGGGCGUAAAGAGCGUGUAGGCGGCCAGGUAGGUCUGCUGUGAAAACUCGAGGCUCAACCUCGAGACGUCGGCGGAAACCAUCUGGCUAGAGUCCGGAAGAGGAGAGUGGAAUUCCUGGUGUAGCGGUGAAAUGCGCAGAUAUCGGGAAGAACACCCGUGGCGAAGGCGGCUCUCUGGGACGGUACUGACGCUGAGACGCGAAAGCGUGGGGAGCGAACAGG